UAGGGAAUCUUCCGCAAUGGGCGAAAGCCUGACGGAGCAACGCCGCGUGAGUGAAGAAGGAUUUCGGUUCGUAAAGCUCUGUUGUUAGGGAAGAAUGAUUGUGUAGUAACUAUACACAGUAGAGACGGUACCUAACCAGAAAGCCACGGCUAACUACGUGCCAGCAGCCGCGGUAAUACGUAGGUGGCAAGCGUUGUCCGGAAUUAUUGGGCGUAAAGCGCGCGCAGGUGGUUUAAUAAGUCUGAUGUGAAAGCCCACGGCUCAACCGCGGAGGGUCAUUGGAAACUGUUAAACUUGAGUGCAGGAGAGAAAAGUGGAAUUCCUAGUGUAGCGGUGAAAUGCGUAGAGAUUAGGAGGAACACCAGUGGCGAAGGCGGCUUUUUGGCCUGUAACUGACACUGAGGCGCGAAAGCGUGGGGAGCAAACAGGAUUAGAUACCCUGGUAGUCCACGCCGUAAACGAUGAGUGCUAAGUGUUGGUCUCAUAAGAGAUCAGUGCUGCAGCUAACGCAUUAAGCACUCCGCCUGGGGAGUACGACCGCAAGGUUG
rnacentral:rRNA from 1 species